rnacentral:rRNA from 1 species
UACGAGGGGGGCUAGCGUUGUUCGGAAUUACUGGGCGUAAAGCGCACGUAGGCGGCUUUGCAAGUCAGAGGUGAAAGCCCAGGGCUUAACCCUGGAAUUGCCUUUAAGACUGCAUCGCUAGAAUCGUGGAGAGGUGAGUGGAAUUCCGAGUGUAGAGGUGAAAUUCGUAGAUAUUCGGAAGGAACACCAGUGGCGAAGGCGAACUCACUGG